rnacentral:sRNA from 1 species
UCACCUUAACCAUUGUAAUAUGCUCAAUGCCAUCUAAAAGCGACCUAUAGCAGUUAGCUGUAAAUGGCCCCCACAUUGUUGGUAUUACUGCAGAACCAGCAGGCUCUAUCAGUUUAUCUCUCUUCCUUCUAUACCUUAUCAAGUCAGCAAUAGAUACAAUUUUUAAAUUUUCACGCUCUGCAAACUGGCGAAGCUUAGGUAAUCUAGCCAUUGAACCAUCAUCAUCCACAAUCUCACACAGAACUGCUGCAGGAUUCAGACCAGCUAGUAUGGCAAGAUCAACUGAAGCUUCUGUAUGUCCAGCUCUCUUCAGCACACCACCCUCCCUGUACAUUAGUGGGAAAAUAUGGCCUGGGCGGUUGAAAUCACGUGGUUUGGAAUCUUUGGAUGCAAGGGCCAAGACUGUCGUAGCCCUAUCACGAGCUGACACCCCUGUGGUAGUACCAUGUUUAGCAUCC